rnacentral:rRNA from 1 species
GUGUCAGCCGCCGCGGUAAUACAGAGGUCCCGAGCGUUGUUCGGAUUCACUGGGCGUAAAGGGUGCGUAGGUGGUGGAGUAAGUCGGAUGUGAAAGCUCGGAGCUCAACUCCGGAACGGCAUUGGAAACUGCUCUGCUGGAGGGUCGGAGGGGGGACUGGAAUGCUUGGUGUAGCAGUGAAAUGCGUAGAUAUCAAGCGGAACACCAGUGGCGAAGGCGAGUCCCUGGACGACACCUGACACUGAGGCACGAAAGCUAGGGGAGCAAACAGGAUUAGAUACCCUGGUAGUCCUAGCCGUAAACGGUGCGCGUUUGCUGUAAAAGGAAUCGACCCCUUUUGUGGCGUAGCCAACGCGUUAAACGCGCCGCCUGGGAAGUACGGUCGCAAGAUUAAA